AUGUGAUCGUCUCUCGCAUAUCAAUAAGCGGAGGAAAAGAAACUAACAAGGAUUCCCUUAGUAACGGCGAGUGAAGCGGGAAGAGCUCAAAUUCGAAAUCUUCAAGGGUUUACCUUUACGAAUUGUAGUUUAAAGAAGUGUUUUCUGUUGAGGUUUUGGUAAAAGUUCUUUGGAAUAGGACAUCAUAGAGGGUGAGAAUCCCGUAUUUGACCUUUACUUUCAACUUUGUGAUACACUUUCAAAGAGUCGGAUUGUUUGGGAAUGCAGUCCUAAAUGGGUGGUAAAUUUCAUCUAAAGCUAAAUAUUGGCGAGAGACCGAUAGCGAACAAGUACCGUGAGGGAAAGAUGAAAAGAACUUUGAAAAGAGAGUUAAACAGUACGUGAAAUUGUCAAAAGGGAAGCGUUUGACACCAGUGUUGUUUUUCUGAAAAUCAAUUAAAGAACUGUUUAUGCUAAGUUGUUUAGACUUUAUCAGCUAUCUGUUUAGUUUUGAGCUUUUCUUUAAUGCACUUUUCAGUUAACAAGUCAACAUCAAUUUCUUUUGCUGUAAAAAAGCUUGAGGAAGGUGGCUUGAGAUUCGUCUUAAGUGUUUAUAGCCUCUUGCCUAUGCAGUCGGAGAGAUUGAGGUCUGCAGCGUAGAUCCUUCGGGGCUAAAUGCAUUUGUGCUAAGUUAUAACAUUUUAUAGACAACUUGUUGACUAUGAUUUGUCUUGUAGCUUACUCGCUUAUGUUAUUUUACCUACGCUUAGGAUGUUGAAGUCAUCGUAUCGCGC
rnacentral:rRNA from 1 species